AUUAAACGCUGGCGGCAUGCCUUACACAUGCAAGUCGAACGGUAGCGCGGGGCAACCUGGCGACGAGUGGCGAACGGGUGAGUAAAGCAUCGGAACGUGCCCUGGAAUGGGGGAUAACGUAGCGAAAGUUACGCUAAUACCGCAUAUUCUGUGAGCAGGAAAGCAGGGGAUCGCAAGACCUUGCGUUCUGGGAGCGGCCGAUGUCGGAUUAGCUAGUUGGUGGGGUAAAGGCCUACCAAGGCGACGAUCCGUAGCGGGUCUGAGAGGAUGAUCCGCCACACUGGGACUGAGACACGGCCCAGACUCCUACGGGAGGCAGCAGUGGGGAAUUUUGGACAAUGGGCGGAAGCCUGAUCCAGCCAUGCCGCGUGAGUGAAGAA
rnacentral:rRNA from 1 species